AUGCCCCCAUCUAUCUCGCUUCUCUCUCUCUCGCCUUCUCUUUUUCCGCCGCCGCCGCCUUCGCCGGCCGGUUCCGACGAAAUCCGGCGGUCUCAGUUAUCGUGCUGGCUACCAAUCUCCUCCUCUCCUCGCGCUCUGGUUUCGGUGUACUCGACCUCCUCGUCGCCGGCGAUGCUCCGGCGUCUUGCAGCGGCCCAAGGAGGAGCUUCAUACUCGGCAUGUGGAGCUCGAGACGCGGCGGUGGUCCAUGGCAUCGAGACCAUCCGUCUUCCUCUACAGAAGCAGCGCGGGCCGCAGAGACGCCCGGCUCAAUCGUGCUCUCAUGUCGCAGUUCUUCUGCCCGACGAAGAAGAGAGGCGAAUAGGAGAAGCACGAUGCAAGUACACAAGUUUUUCUCUUCUUUCCGAAAUUUUCCCGCCUCUCUUCCAGUGCCGUACUCCUAGAGCUUCUCAUCUUUGUGUCUUUGUUUCUGCAGAUGUUGUUUCUCUAUGCCUACAAGGUGUUCGAAGAAAUUCCAAGAAGACUGACAGGGAGUUUUUGUAUCAGAACAUAUGUUUUUUUUCAAUGUCUUUGAAUCAUAAUGUCCGGUGUGUAGUGAUGCUUGAUAAAACAUCUGCUUUUAGCCCUGGGACUCAUGCUUCAGCAUAUGUUCCAUCACGUGAUAAUUAUACACUUGGGGAAGCGGCUGCGAUCAAGCCACCGCCGUUGAGUCGACGGUGUCGUGCCUCUGCGACCGGGAUCAGGCAAGGUAGAUGGGAAGAAGUGGCGCCCCUCUCCCCUGAGCUCCAGAUCCAUGGCAGCAGCAGCAGCGAGGACAUCCGCGACGUAUAUCCCAAGAAGUUGCCAAACUACAAGGCCAAGCUGAAAAAUUUCUUUGAAGAGCACUUGUGUUACUUUGAUGCGAGGGACCAAAAUGAAGAGUGGAUCUAUAUAGCAGUGAAGGAAGGGGGCAUGAUUGUUUUGCCUGCAGGAAUGUAUCAUGGAUUCACGUUGGACAAUGACAACUACAUCAAAGAGACUAUGCUCCAGUUGUUUGUAGUUGUGCUCCGAAUAGAUGUCCCCCUACUUCUGCCCUACACAUACUGGAAACAGGAGAAUGAAAGGGGUGUGAAGCUCGCCGUCGACACGCAUCGGCUUUGUGUGCGCUGCCAGCGGCCAACCACUCAGCAUCCAACCAGGAGUUACAAGGAGCGAUGGCUGUUCCAUAACCCACUUCAUUUGGUUCUCACCGAUAUUGAGCGCAAUGCAGGAGCACCUGGUGAGCUUGAGGAACAUUGUUAUUGGGGCAAUGAGGUUAAGAUCUAUGAGCACCAUUAUUUUCAGGUUCACUACACCAAAGAGAAUCCGAUGGACUACAUUAACCUGGAUGAUGAUACACUGAAGAUCAGGAUUGUUGACGGCAAUUGCAUGAUGAUUGUCGCAUCAUGCUGGGAACUGACAAGAGGGCCACCAUCACCACCAACUUGUCAGAGUUCUGCCACCGUGCACACAUCCGCGAAGGAGACAUCUGCGCAUUCCGCUUCAAGGUCACCGAAAAUGCCGCCUUGCUCUCACCGUGCCAUCGCCUCUAGACGCAUUAUCGACAAUGACAGAAUAACAUCACAUGUGCUAAUUAGUACACAGGACGUUGAAAGGGGCGUGUCCUACCUGGCACUGCCCAGGUGGCGCGCCAAGGGCGCGCCCCAACCACUAGUUUGA
rnacentral:rRNA from 1 species